rnacentral:rRNA from 1 species
CCUACGGGGGGCUGCAGUCGAGGAUCUUCGGCAAUGGGCGAAAGCCUGACCGAGCGACGCCGCGUGCGGGAUGAAGGCCUUCGGGUUGUAAACCGCUGUCAGAGGGGAGGAAAUACUAGGGGGUUCUCCCCCUAGUUUGACCUAUCCUCAGAGGAAGUACGGGCUAAGUUCGUGCCAGCAGCCGCGGUAAGACGAACCGUACAAACGUUAUUCGGAAUCACUGGGCUUAAAGGGUGCGAAGGCGGCGCGGGAGAUCCCUCGGCUCAACCGAGGAACUGCGCCCAAAACUGCCGUGCUUGAGGGAGACAGAGGUGAGCGGAACUAAGGGUGGAGCGGUGAAAUGCGUUGAUAUCCUUAGGAACACCGGUGGCGAAAGCGGCUCACUGGGUCUCUUCUGACGCUGAGGCACGAAAGCUAGGGGAGCAAACGGGAUUAGAUACCCGAGUAGUC